GGUAAUUAAAUAGUCAUACCGUAGACAGUAGGUGCGUUUUUCGCUUAAAUAACCUACCGAGGUGAGCAGAUAGAUCUCUAACAUUCUUAGAGUACAGUGCCCUCGCGUGUCUAACGUGAGGGUUUUCUAUAUGGAGCC
rfam:Bacillus sp. JCM 19045 DNA, contig: contig00029.